AGCCUCGCUCUGACUGCACCCUAAACUAUAAAGGGACCUGCGCGGAAAGCUGAGGGUUCUCUUUGCGCUGUAGGUUACUCUUUUAGGCGACCUGGUGACCAAGCAAAAUGUGGGGUUACAGAGUAAAUUUAGAUGCUCCGGUUCUGCGGAGCAGCCCUCCGCACUUGAGCUUAGGGUACCGGUGUAAACUACCUGGGAGAAGUGCGCAGCAGCAAAAGAGAUUUCAGGAUUGGAGCCUAGGCCCUGGGGAGAUUGGGACUGGGCAGCUUGGCUGAAGGCUGCGUGCGUUCUGGUUCCUCAGUCCCAGUUUGGGUGGGUUCUUACACAGCGGGGUUUGCAGAAAAAUAUGCAAGGCCUUUUGUGCUGUUUGGAAGGUACUGGUGACACCUAAGUGACAUCGGAUUAUAUGCACAUGAACCCUUUCACAGGGACCAUGGCGUCAUCAUUCUUAACAUCAUCAAAGCAGUUGCAAAAAGAUACCAAGAUGAAGGGGUGCCCAAAGCAUCCGAGAGAACUCGUCACAGAAAAUAACUUGAUUAAAACCUGACUCUUUUAAAAGGUAUGUAUGAAAUCUAGAUUGACAUUUUUGCCAGCAUACAUUUUUACUGUUGUGAGAUGAGAAUCAGCUUCCCGGAAAUGUGUUCUGAAAUAGUCCUGGCCAAACACUGCAGCUUCUCCUACUCUGGCCUUUUUAAUUUGGAGUAGCUGUAGUGAAUGCAUGGUGUAUAAGUUGAUUGUACAAACAGUUGUGAGACAUACCGGGUCUGAACAGUGAUGAACUAUAUCCCGAAGAUGAUGACCUGAAGACAGAUACAGCUUCUGAGAGAAGACCAUCGUGUUUAAGUGAAGUAGUAGUCUUGUUUGUCAUGUUUCCCAAGGGCUUUUGUUUGUUUGGGGGAUAAUCUCUCCUGCUGCGCAAACUGGCCUCGAACUCAUUAGGCAGCUGAGGAAGUCCUUGAACUGCAGACACCCCAGCCUGCACCUCUCACGUUCCGGGGUUCCACCAUGUCUGGCUCUCUCUAGCCUUUCUUUUUAAUUCCUCUGGUCUGAUCAGCCAUAGCCACAAGACACUCCCUCUGUAGGGCACUGAGUGAAUAGCUGUUACCAAGCAAAUAUCUGUUCCAGGCCAUCUCUGUACUGACCAUAUUUGUUCAGAGGUUCAUUGAGCCACUGGUUAUUUCUGGCAUGUCUGCAUGUCUUUUUUUUUUUAAUGACUAUUUUUAAAGGCUGUGUAAGGAGGGCAAAGAGAACCUAGGCAUAGGUUUUCCAAAAACGUGACAAGGAUGGAGGGUGGUGGCGGCAGGAGAACCCUGGAGCGCUGGGUGCUUCUGGACAUCAGCUCCUGACCACCUCUCCAGCAGCACUGCAGAAGUGUACACAAGGUGGCUCCUGAAGCUGAGGGUGGGGUUCUGGGGGGGGGGGGNGGGGGGGGAGAGAAGGAGGGUCAGAGAUGCCAGCAGCAUAUCCUCCAGGCUAAGUAAGCCAGGGUGUUAGUUACCUGGUCUUCUGUGCUUCUCUGUGUAUGCAUGUAUAUUUGUUCGUGGAUGGAGACCUGUGUGCAUGGGGACCAGAGGACAAGUUAGGGCGACAUUCCUCAUGUGCUACCUACCGUUUGAAAAAAAAAUUGUGUAUGAGUGUCUUAGUUAGGGUUUUACUGCUGUGAACAGACACCGUGACCAAGGCAACUCUUGUAAGAACAACAUUUAAUUGGGCCUGGCUUACAGGCUCGGAGGUUCAGUCCACUAUCACCAAGGUGGGAACAUGGUAGCAUCCAGGCAGGCAUGGUGCAGGAGGAGCCGAGAGUUCUCCAUCUUCAUCUGAAGGCUGCUAGCAGAAGACUGGCUUCCAGGCAGCUAGAAUGAGGACCAGUGUCUCCUACUCUGGAUAGUGUCAGUUCAAUCAUGGUUAAUCUCCUGUCCCUCAUGACGAUGCGACUUCACUUUACGACAUACUUAAGAAUAUAGGAUAAGGGCUGGAGAGAUGGCUCAGCGGUUAAGAGCACUGACUUCUCUUCCAGAGGUCAUGAGUUCAAUUCCCAGCAACCACAUGGUGGCUCACAACCAUCUGUAAUAGGAUCCAGUGCCCUCUUCUGGUGUGUCUGAAAACAGUGAUGGUGUACUCAAAUACAUAAAAUGAAUAAAUAAAUCAUAAGAUAUAUUUAUAGGAUAAGCCAGAUAUAGUGGUACACACCUUUAAUCCCAGCACUGGGGAGGCAGAGACAGGCAGAUACAUGAAUUCGAGGCCAGCCUUCUACAGGGUGAGUUCCAGAAAAGCCAGGGCUACAUAGUAAAAUCCUGCCUCAAAACACAAAAUCAAAAUAAAAACCCUCGGGGCCAUGAGAGUGAACUUUUAUUGUUUAAUUAAAUUACUCUGGUGCUGANNNNNNNNNNNNNNNNNNNNNN
ensembl:processed_transcript